AUUAAGGCUCACUGAAGCUAUAAGGGUGGGGCUCUACUCCAUUAGAACUGGUGUUAUUAUAAGAAAAGGAGGAGACACCAGGAAAGCAUGCACACAGAAGAAAGGCCAUGGGAGGACACAGAGAAGGCACUGUCUGCAAAUCGAAGAGAGAAGUCUCUCAUCAGAAACCAACCCCAUCUGCACCUUGAUCUUGGACUUCCAGCCUCCAGAACGGAGAAGAGAAAAUCCAAAUAAGAGGCACCAAUGCCAACUCACACAUCUCUGCUGCGUCGAACUUCAUCCUGCUCUUUGGACUGGCGGCGGCGCUGUCUGGCAGAUGUGGAAGAAGACGCUGAUGAUGUUCCAGACUCUGAGUCCUCUGAACUUUGGCCUCCAGGGCCAUUAACAUCAAAAAGAUGCUGCUCUACUGCUGACCGGAUGGUUCUUUCUAAGAGUCUAAUAAAAAAAGAAUACAGGGUCACUCAGUUGCACAAGCUUAGUUUUGGGAACAUGGACCAAUGUGAAUGAUGACUCCAGGAGAAUACAGAAGAGGGAGAAAAUGUGGAUCUGCCAGAUGCUAAAAAUAUUCCAAAGACAUGUAAGUAUAAUCAGCCAAUUAGUCCUCCAGGCCAUCUCAGAAUGAGGAGAUGUACAUCCUUUCUUCUCUUCUACAUACUUUAAACCUGAACUUCUUUUUGCUUAUUAAAGCACAUGCUGAUAUUUUUAUGUUCCUUUUGGGGGCCUGGGGGCCAGGACACAAAAAAGAAAGGUGAGGAAGAAAGAGACAAGAACAUGACAUCAAGUAGAACCAGGUUUUGAGAUUACUAACUGAUGAAAUGCUUCUCAAACAUUAAGGCAUAGCUGAAUCACCUAGGAGCUUGUUUACAAACAGACUCUCGUUCAAUAGUCUAGGUCUCAGGAAGGGGACUGCCUUUCUAACAAAUUUUACAGUGAUUUUGAGGCUGCUGAUUUGUGUAAGACACUGAUUAGCAAAGCUGUAAUUCCCUGCAACUAAAAUUCUUCAAGACUUCAAUUACUUGGAUAUCACAAUAGCUAUUUUUAAACUUUCUAAUCUAAGUAAUGAGGGUAUGAGUUGGAAAACUUAGGCUAGCAUAAGUGAAUAAAAGGCAACAUGUCAAAAUUUCCCUCACAGCUUAUAACCUAAGCCAUCUAAAUCAGUCUUGUAAAAUUUAUUUAUUUAUUUUCCAAUGUUUAUUUAUUUUUGUGAGACAGAGACAGAGUGCCAGUGGGGAAGGGCAGAGAGAGAGAGAGAGGGAGACACAGAAACUGAA